rnacentral:rRNA from 1 species
GAUGAACGCUGGCGGCGUGCUUAACACAUGCAAGUCGAACGAACCUUCGGGUUAGUGGCGGACGGGUGAGUAACGCGUGAGAAUCUGCCCUCAGGAGGGGGACAACAGCUGGAAACGGCUGCUAAUACCCCAUAUGCCGCGAGAUGAAAUGAAUUUCGCCUGAGGAUGAGCUCGCGUCUGAUUAGCUAGUUGGUGUAGGUAAUGGCUCACCAAGGCAUCGAUCAGUAGCUGGUCUGAGAGGAUGAUCAGCCACACUGGGACUGAGACACGGCCCAGACUCCUACGGGAGGCAGCAGUGGGGAAUUUUCCGCAAUGGGCGAAAGCCUGACGGAGCAACGCCGCGUGAGGGAUGAAGGCCUCUGGGC